UACGUAGGGUGCAAGCGUUAAUCGGAAUUACUGGGCGUAAAGCGCACGUAGGCGGCGCAGCAAGUCAGGGGUGAAAUCCCGGGGCUCAACCCCGGAACUGCCUCUGAAACUGCAGUGCUAGAAUCUUGGAGAGGCGAGUGGAAUUCCGAGUGUAGAGGUGAAAUUCGUAGAUAUUCGGAAGAACACCAGUGGCGAAGGCGACUCGCUGGACAAGUAUUGACGCUGAGGUGCGAAAGCGUGGGGAGCAAACAGG
rnacentral:rRNA from 1 species